GGCGGUAAGGAAAUGUUAUCAUCAAGAAAAAUGCAUUAGUGGGCGGUAGGUAGAAAAAGGUUGACUACCCCUGAUGUAGAUCAACUAGCAACUGGAUUCCCCUGAGGAAGUCCUAUCCCAGGACGAAACGUGUAGGGCUUAAUACUUACAUAGUGACUUGUUAAUUGUGACUUUCUGUCUAUUUAUUGGUUUUAUUUGGCUUACUUGCGGUUAUCAUUUUUGUUCCUGCUCUGGAGGGAUCCUUU